GGCUCCAUAGUGUAGCGUUAGCAUGUCUGCUUUGCAUGCAGAAGAUCCUGAGUUCAAACCCCAGGUGAAGGCG
rnacentral:tRNA from 1 species